rnacentral:rRNA from 1 species
UGCGUAGGCGGAUAAAUAAGUCAGUGGUGAAAUCUUUCGGCUCAACCGGGAAACUGCCAUUGAAACUGUUAAUCUUGAGUUAGGUUGAGGUAGGCGGAAUGUGUAAUGUAGCGGUGAAAUGCUUAGAUAUUACACAGAACACCAAUUGCGUAGGCAGCUUACUGGACCUACACUGACGCUGAGGCACGAAAGCGUGGGGAGCGAACAGGAUUAGAUACCCUGGUAGUCC